AGAGUUUGAUCCUGGCUCAGGAUGAACGCUAGCGGCAGGCUUAACACAUGCAAGUCGAACGGUAACAGAUCUAGCUUGCUAGAUGCUGACGAGUGGCGAACGGGUGCGUAACGCGUAUGCAACUUACCCUUAACUGGAAGAUAGCCUUUCGAAAGGAAGAAUAAUAUUCCAUAAUAUUUUGAAGAGACAUCUCUUUAAUCUUAAAGCUUCGGCGGUUAAGGAUAGGCAUGCGUCCUAUUAGUUAGUUGGUGAGGUAAAAGCUCACCAAGACAUCGAUAGGUAGGGGGCCUGAGAGGGUUAUCCCCCACACUGGUACUGAGACACGGACCAGACUCCUACGGGAGGCAGCAGUGAGGAAUAUUGCACAAUGGACGAAAGUCUGAUGCAGCCAUGCCGCGUGCAGGAUGAAUGCCCUAUGGGUUGUAAACUGCUUUUAUAUAGGAAGAAACUUUUCUACGUGUAGAAAACUGACGGUACUAUAAGAAUAAGGACCGGCUAACUCCGUGCCAGCAGCCGCGGUAAUACGGAGGGUCCAAGCGUUAUCCGGAUUUAUUGGGUUUAAAGGGUCCGUAGGCGGGAAAUUAAGUCAGUGGUGAAAGCCUACAGCUCAACUGUAGAACUGCCAUUGAAACUGAUUUUCUUGAAUAUAGAUGAAGUGGGCGGAAUAUAUCAUGUAGCGGUGAAAUGCAUAGAUAUGAUAUAGAACACCGAUUGCGAAGGCAGCUCACUAAACUAAUAUUGACGCUGAGGGACGAAAGCGUGGGGAGCGAACAGGAUUAGAUACCCUGGUAGUCCACGCCGUAAACGAUGAUUACUCGUUAUUGGCGAUAUAAUGUCAGUGACUAAGCGAAAGUGAUAAGUAAUCCACCUGGGGAGUACGAUCGCAAGAUUGAAACUCAAAGGAAUUGACGGGGGCCCGCACAAGCGGUGGAGCAUGUGGUUUAAUUCGAUGAUACGCGAGGAACCUUACCAGGGCUUAAAUGCAAAAUGACAGAUCUGGAAACAGAUCUUCCUUCGGGCAGAUUGCAAGGUGCUGCAUGGUUGUCGUCAGCUCGUGCUGUGAAGUGUCGGGUUAAGUCCCAUAACGAGCGCAACCCCUAUUUCUAGUUGCCAGCGAGUAAUGUCGGGGACUCUAGAGAAACUGCCGGCGUAAGCCGCGAGGAAGGUGGGGAUGACGUCAAAUCAUCACGGCCCUUACGUCCAGGGCUACACACGUGCUACAAUGGCGGAUACAAAGGGCAGCUACUUGGUGACAAGGUGCUAAUCUCUAAAGUCCGUCUCAGUUCGGAUCGAAGUCUGCAACUCGACUUCGUGAAGCUGGAAUCGCUAGUAAUCGCGUAUCAGCAAUGACGCGGUGAAUACGUUCCCGGGCCUUGUACACACCGCCCGUCAAGCCAUGGAAGCUGGGGGUGCCUGAAGUCGGUGACCGAAAGGAGCUGCCUAGGGUAAAACUAGUAACUGGGGCUAAGUCGUAACAAGGUAGCCC
rnacentral:rRNA from 1 species